CAGCAGCCACGGUAAUACGGAGGGUGCAAGCGUUAAUCGGAAUUACUGGGCGUAAAGCGCACGCAGGCGGUUUGUUAAGUCAGAUGUGAAAUCCCCGAGCUUAACUUGGGAACUGCAUUUGAAACUGGCAAGCUAGAGUCUUGUAGAGGGGGGUAGAAUUCCAGGUGUAGCGGUGAAAUGCGUAGAGAUCUGGAGGAAUACCGGUGGCGAAGGCGGCCCCCUGGACAAAGACUGACGCUCAGGUGCGAAAGCGUGGGGAGCAAACAGGAUUAGAUACCCCUGUAGUCCCUGUCUCUUAUAC
rnacentral:rRNA from 1 species